GAACGCUGGCGGCGUGCUUAACACAUGCAAGUCGAACGAUGAAGCCUUUCGGGGUGGAUUAGUGGCGAACGGGUGAGUAACACGUGGGCAAUCUGCCCUUCACUCUGGGACAAGCCCUGGAAACGGGGUCUAAUACCGGAUAACACUCUGUCCCGCAUGGGACGGGGUUAAAAGCUCCGGCGGUGAAGGAUGAGCCCGCGGCCUAUCAGCUUGUUGGUGGGGUAAUGGCCUACCAAGGCGACGACGGGUAGCCGGCCUGAGAGGGCGACCGGCCACACUGGGACUGAGACACGGCCCAGACUCCUACGGGAGGCAGCAGUGGGGAAUAUUGCACAAUGGGCGAAAGCCUGAUGCAGCGACGCCGCGUGAGGGAUGACGGCCUUCGGGUUGUAAACCUCUUUCAGCAGGGAAGAAGCGAAAGUGACGGUACCUGCAGAAGAAGCGCCGGCUAACUACGUGCCAGCAGCCGCGGUAAUACGUAGGGCGCAAGCGUUGUCCGGAAUUAUUGGGCGUAAAGAGCUCGUAGGCGGCUUGUCACGUCGGAUGUGAAAGCCCGGGGCUUAACCCCGGGUCUGCAUUCGAUACGGGCUAGCUAGAGUGUGGUAGGGGAGAUCGGAAUUCCUGGUGUAGCGGUGAAAUGCGCAGAUAUCAGGAGGAACACCGGUGGCGAAGGCGGAUCUCUGG
rnacentral:rRNA from 1 species